rnacentral:misc_RNA from 1 species
GCUUUGGACUUCGAAUCAGGUCUGUCUGAAGAGCAGGAAAAAUCUGAAGCAGCCCCAUCCUAAUUAUAUUAGACAGGUAAGAAAGUAGUGUAGCUAUUUUCUACCCGAAAAAAAAAAAAGAAGGAAGUUGCCUCUAGAAACCAACUCUAAGCAACCUACAAAAAAUACCCUAAAAACCAGAGAAAAGACCUCAUACCCUUCAUAUGAACCACCAAAGAUUUGUACAAAGUUCCAACUACCUCAAAACUCAAUUAUAAUGUGCAAAAAUAGUUACUGAGAGAAUCAUUUAUAGGUCACCAGCAUGGAGUUAAUGACAUGCAUGAGAACACGUAUGGUUGAGAGCUCAGCACCAGUGGUUGUAGGUGAGCUCCGCUGAUGGUGUAGAAUCUGAGUUACUUGCUCAAAGAUGGGCCGCACGUGCAUUGCAAUCAUUUGGUCUGCGGGGUUUAUGGCUGGUGCCACAUCCGUCAUCCA